GACGAACGCUGGCGGCGUGCCUAAUACAUGCAAGUUGAGCGAUGAAGCUUGGUGCUUGCACCAAUUUGAAGAGCAGCGAACGGGUGAGUAACGCGUGGGGAAUCUGCCUUUGAGCGGGGGACAACAUUUGGAAACGAAUGCUAAUACCGCAUAACAACUUUAAACAUAAGUUUUAAGUUUGAAAGAUGCAACUGCAUCACUCAAAGAUGAUCCCGCGUUGUAUUAGCUAGUUGGUGAGGUAAAGGCUCACCAAGGCGAUGAUACAUAGCCGACCUGAGAGGGUGAUCGGCCACAUUGGGACUGAGACACGGCCCAAACUCCUACGGGAGGCAGCAGUAGGGAAUCUUCGGCAAUGGACGAAAGUCUGACCGAGCAACGCCGCGUGAGUGAAGAAGGUUUUCGGAUCGUAAAACUCUGUUGGUAGAGAAGAACGUUGGUGAGAGUGGAAAGCUCAUCAAGUGACGGUAACUACCCAGAAAGGGACGGCUAACUACGUG
rnacentral:rRNA from 1 species